GCCUACACUAGAACUUAACCAUGUUGGCACCCUGAUCUCAGACUUCCAGCCUCCAAAACCUGGUUGAAGUAGAGAUGAUCCUUCAAGAUCAUCUAAAGUUAUAACUCUAAAACUAAAAGAAAAAAGCAGAGGUAAGAAAAAGGUUUAAAGUCUAUUAAAACGUGAGCAUUAUGACUUAUGUCUGUAUCCCAACACUUUGGGAAGCCAAGGCAGGAGAAUAAUAUGAGCCCAGGAGUUUGAGACCAGCUUGGGCAAUAGAGUGAGACCUCAUCACUACAAAAUAAAUUUAAUUUUUUUUAACUUUUAAAAGAUUAAAGAUAUAAUUUGAAUAAUAAGAUUCAUGCAC
rnacentral:lncRNA from 1 species